AGCAGUAUGGUGGUGUAUUGUGCACCCGGGGUUCUCAUGUUGGCGUGGAGAAUGAAUUCACCCCGAGGACCUCGUUCGAAUCGAGGUGCUGCUC